UGGCCUUUGUGAAACCCUGGAAAUACCAC
rnacentral:piRNA from 1 species